CCGCCGGGGAGCGUCGCCAAACGCCCCGACGUCCCGCCCCCUUCGUCCGGGCAGGCGGUCGGAAGUGUGGGUGGGCCCAGCAACAGCCGCGGGAGCCGUCGGGCCCCGCGCGUUCCAGCGAUCCGGCCGUUAGGCAACCCGGGGAAUUGGCAACAAGCGCUCGGCCGGACUGCGGCGGGAGGAUGGGGUUGGGGGCCAGUGUGUGGCCGGCGGAACGUGAGAGUCUGCGUGGGGCUGUCUCCCCUGGGUCGGCACUUUGCACCCGCUCCCUAAGUCUGCCCCGCCUCCGCCCCCGCCCUGGGCGGCCAACCGAGGCUGCCUGGGCGGGGCGAAAGCCCAGGCGCAGGCGCGGGAUUGGCCCGGGGGCGUGACCAGGCUGGGUUCGCGGGCGCGCGCGGGCGCAGCCCCACGUGCCGUCCCAGUCCGCCUGCCGCUCCGCGGGGUCCGGUUCCGCCUGGCCCUCCGCCUGCCCCAAUGCCGGGUCCGGCCUGGCCAUGGGCGCGGGCUCAGUGCGGGCGCGCUACCUCGUGUACUUCCAGUACUUGGGCACGGACUUUAACGGGGUCGCGGCAGUCAGGGGCGCCCAGCACGCCAUCGGAGUCCAGAACUACCUGGAGGAGGCCGCAGAGCGGCUGAACUCGGUGGUGCCGGUAAAGUUCACUAUCUCCAGCCGCACGGAUGCUGGGGUCCAUGCCCUGAGCAACGCGGCGCACCUGGACGUCCAGCGCCGCUCAGGCCGGCCCCCCUUCUCCCCUGAAGUCCUGACGCAAGCCCUCAACACCCACCUGAGGCACCCGGCCAUCCGGGUACUGCAGGCCUUCCGUGUGCCCAGCCACUUCCAUGCCCGCCACGCAGCCACGUCCAGGACCUACCUGUACCGUCUGGCUACCGGCUGCCACAGGCCUGACCAGCUGCCCGUGUUUGAACGAAACCGGUGCUGGGCGCUUCGGGCUGACUGCUUGGACGUCGCUGCCAUGCGGGAGGCCGCCCAGCACCUCCUGGGGACACACGAUUUCAGGGCCUUCCAGUCGGCUGGCAGCCCGGCCACCAGCCCGGUGCGCACCCUGCGCCGAGCCUCCGUGUCCCCCGACCCUGCCAGCAGCCCCUUUGUCCUCCCCGAGGAGAGCAGGGUCCUGCCAGGCUGGGGGGCAGAGGGCAGAGAAGGCUGCCUAACCUGCCAGAGCUCACUGCCUCGUGGAUGGAUCCCGGCGGUCGGUGAAAAGACUCCACUGGGGGAGAAGCACCAAGCCAGUGGUUCGUUCGGGCCCAGGCUGGCAGGGGGUUGGUUCCACUGCCCCCAGCACUGGCCCAGGGGCCUCUGGCCAGACCGCAGCUACUGACUUCCAGAGCCUUCCCACUUGGGCCCAGCACUGAAGGGAGGAGGGACUUUGCACAGCCAGCUUCCAAGCCUCCGACUCCUGCUGGAGAGCCCAAGCCCCAGGGCUUGAGUCCCUGGGAGAGAAGCUGGCCGCUCCACCUCCUUCGCAGCCCCCGAGCCCAAGGCCUCCUCCUGCAGCCAAGACCCUGGAGGCGCUGCUGUCCCCGCUCACAAGCAGCAGUCCUCUGGCUUUAGUCUCCCUUCCGCCAGUUUCAUUUACAAGGGGUUGGGGGGGAGUAGGUGGGGGCCCCUGGGGUGGGACGCGGGGAUGCCACACUGGAGGGUUGAGGCUGCCCUGAGGCCCAGACCUCAUGGGCACCUGUGUCCCCAGGCAGUUGCGGUUCUGGAGCCUGGAGUUUGAGAGCCAGUCCUUCCUAUACAGACAGGUGCGGAGAAUGACAUCUGUGCUGGUGGCCGUGGGGCUGGGGGCUUUGAUGCCUGCUCAGGUGAAGAUGAUUCUGGAGAGCCAGGACCCCCUGGG